UACGGAGGGGGUUAGCGUUGUUCGGAAUGACUGGGCGUAAAGCGCGCGUAGGCGGAUCAGGAAGUUGGGGGUGAAAUCCCGGGGCUCAACCCCGGAAUGGCCUUCAAAAACUCCUGGUCUUGAGUUCGAGAGAGGUGAGUGGAAUUCCGAGUGUAGAGGUGAAAUUCGUAGAUAUUCGGAGGAACACCAGUGGCGAAGGCGGCUCACUGGCUCGACACUGACGCUGAGGUGCGAAAGCGUGGGGAGCAAACAGG
rnacentral:rRNA from 1 species